CACGUAGGGUGCGAGCGUUGUCCGGAAUUAUUGGGCGUAAAGAGCUCGUAGGCGGUCUGUCGCGUCGGCUGUGAAAACUCGGGGCUCAACCCCGAGCCUGCAGUCGAUACGGGCAGACUAGAGUGCUGUAGGGGAGACUGGAAUUCCUGGUGUAGCGGUGAAAUGCGCAGAUAUCAGGAGGAACACCGGUGGCGAAGGCGGGUCUCUGGGCAGUAACUGACGCUGAGGAGCGAAAGCGUGGGGAGCAAACAGG
rnacentral:rRNA from 1 species